CACAUACUAAGUUUAGAACGAUGCAGAAGAUUAGCAUGGCCCCUGUGCAAGGAUGACACGCAAAUUCGUGAAGCGUUCCAUAGUUUU
rnacentral:snRNA from 1 species